GUCCCUGUAGCGCAAUGGAUAGCGCGUUGGAGUUCUAAUCCAACGGCCGUGGGUUCGAAUUCCACCUGGGAUG
rnacentral:tRNA from 1 species